rnacentral:lncRNA from 1 species
UUCUCCUGGCUAUAGUCCUACGAGUCCUGCAUAUUCUCCUACAAGUCCAUCCUAUUCACCCACGUCGCCUAGCUACAGCCCCACUUCUCCGAGCUACAGUCCCACCUCCCCAAGCUACAGCCCCACCUCUCCUAGUUACAGCCCCACCUCUCCAAGCUAUAGCCCGACUUCCCCAAGCUAUAGUCCAACUUCGCCAGUUUAUAGCGCUUAUAGCCCCACUUCACCGGCCUAUAGCCCCACCUCACCAUCUUACAGCCCUACAUCCCCUUCUUACAGCCCAACUUCCCCUUCAUACAGCCCAACAUCACCAUCCUACAGCCCAACAUCUCCAUCAUACAGCCCUACCUCCCCAGCGUAUAGCCCAACAUCCCCUGGCUAUAGCCCAACCUCACCAAGCUACAGCCCGACAUCACCAAGCUACGGUCCUACUUCUCCAAGUUACAAUCCACAGUCAGCCAAAUACAGUCCUUCACUUGCAUACUCACCUAGUAGUCCAAGGUUGUCACCUUCUAGUCCAUAUAGUCCUACAUCACCAAAUUAC